AAACUUGACGCAGGUCAACCCUGCACCCGCCUCGCGUGCCCGGUCCCGGGCAGCAUUGACCCUGAUCAAUUUUUCCCGCCCCCGUAUUCGUUACCUUGCAUCCAUCGGACAACGGCAAACGAAUCGGGAGGCCAGCAUGUUCUUCGACAAUGUGGUUAUCGCGGGUGUGGUAACGGUCGGGUUGAUGUUUGCAUUCUUUGCCGGUCUGGGCAUUUUCAUCUGGAAGGAUUCGCACAAGCGUAAGCCGCGCUGACCUUCGGAUUCACGAGCACGCAAGGCAUUUAGGGCGACUUCGGUCGCCUAUU
rnacentral:sRNA from 2 species